GACUAAGCCGAUUCAACGCUGGUUAUAAAGCUCUGAAGAUUCCAGAGGUAUCUCGAGAGAAGGAAUCUAGACAAGAUAGGUACGAGUAUUACUUUUGCUUUAAAUGCAAUUCUUUUCAAAUAUGGAAGUGUAUUCUUUAGUCUGAUACGUUUUGGGGCUU